rnacentral:rRNA from 1 species
CAGUAGCCGCGGGAAUACGUAGGGCGCAAGCGUUAUCCGGAAUUAUUGGGCGUAAAGCGUGCGUAGGCGGUGAGUUAAGUCUGCUGUGAAAUCCCCGGGCUCAACCUGGGAAUGGCAGUGGAUACUGGCUCGCUAGAGUGUGUCAGAGGAUGGUGGAAUUCCCGGUGUAGCGGUGAAAUGCGUAGAGAUCGGGAGGAACAUCAGUGGCGAAGGCGGCCAUCUGGGACAACACUGACGCUGAGGCACGAAAGCGUGGGGAGCAAACAGGAUUAGAUACCCCCGUAGUCCCUGUCUCUUAUAC